AAGGGGCUAUGGCCCAACUGGUCUUGGGUCUUGGCUUCUCGUUCUAGGGUUUUGCGUGGCUUUAGGGUUCCAUCGCCGAGGGUGUUGAUGGUGGUCGAAAGGUGCAGCCGUUCCUUCGCUGCAUCCCAUCUUAAUACCUUAUCCUAUGUGGCUCCUGUACAUCUGAGGUUCCCAAAGGUAUCGGAGACCGAGGCGGCAGGCGGAUGGAAGAAAACAACAUUUGAGGGUCCAAAGCUUUUCACAUUGUAUAUUUUCCAGAUGAAGAUGAUUGGUUGAUUGAUAAUUGGAAAUGUGUCAUGUAAUAGUUUAUUGUGGUGGUUGUUUAACAUCAUUCUCAGAGAUCUUUCGAAAUCUUUUUUAUAAUUGUGUCAUGGACAUAAAAUAUCAUUAAUUGACAAUGACUAUUAUUUAUUGUGCGCU